UACGUAGGGUGCGAGCGUUAAUCGGAAUUACUGGGCGUAAAGCGUGCGCAGGCGGUUAUUUAAGACAGAUGGGAAAUCCCCGGGCUUAACCUGGGAACUGCGUUUGUGACUGGAUAGCUGGAGUAUGGCAGAGGGGGGUGGAAUUCCACGUGUAGCAGUGAAAUGCGUAGAGAUGUGGAGGAACACCGAUGGCGAAGGCAGCCCCCUGGGCCAAUACUGACGCUCAUGCACGAAAGCGUGGGGAGCAAACAGG
rnacentral:rRNA from 1 species